rnacentral:lncRNA from 1 species
GGGCGAGUGAGGACCUACAAAGUUUGUCCGCUCCGGGGCGCCAUACCAGCUCGGUUCCCGGCCGGCCGGGCUGGUCCGGGCUUAGCCCAGGAGACCCCGAUGGCCGCAGUGUUCCUGGUUACGCUCUACGAAUACUCGCCGCUCUUCUACAUCGCGGUGGUCUUCACCUGCUUCAUCGUCACCACCGGCCUGGUAUUAGGAUGGUUUGGCUGGGACGUUCCAGUAAUUCUGAGAAACUCAGAAGAAACCCAGUUCAGCACAAGAGCUUUCAAGAAACAAAUGAGACAAGUGAAGAAUCCGUUCGGCUUAGAGAUCACUAACUCAUCCGCAGCUUCCCUAGCAAGUUGGUGGCUGUUUCCCAGCUUUUCUCCCAUCUGUGUCCCCUUGUCCUUAGCCCUUCUGUCCUUUCUCCAUUGCUCUCUCCUCAUUAAACUUAACCAUUAGUGACCUG